GUAGUCAAUCGGUCUGUCGCUUUUUCAAGAAAAAAAGAGGAAAGUCCGGACAACAGAGAGCGCCCUACUAUCUAACGGAUAGCUGUUUGCGAGAGCAGAGUCAGGUAGAAGAAAAUAACCGCCUCUGAAAAGAGGUAAGGGUGAGAAGGUGAGGUAAGAGCUUACCGUUCUUGCAGCGAUGUGAGAAGCCGUACCGCUUAGGGGUUGCAAUAUCGUGUAUAUCAGCGCAAUAAGGAUGGCUCGUCCUUGCUGAGGGGUAGAUAGCUUGAGUUUCGGUGUGAGCCGAAAUCCAGAUAAAUGACAGACGCCCCGAUGAUUCGGGAUACAGAAUCCGGCUUACAGAUUGACUGCUUUU
rnacentral:RNase_P_RNA from 1 species